rnacentral:rRNA from 1 species
AGAGUUCGAUUCUGGCUCAGGACGAACGCUGGCGGCGCGCCUAACACAUGCAAGUCGAACGGAGUUAUGUUGACAGAAGCCUUCGGGUGGAAGAUGAUAUAAGUUAGUGGCGGACGGGUGAGUAACACGUGAGCAACCUGCCUAUCAGAGGGGGAUAACGUUCUGAAAAGAACGCUAAUACCGCAUGAAGUACGAAAGGGACAUCCCAUUUGUACCAAAGGAGCAAUCCGCUGAUAGAUGGGCUCGCGUCCGAUUAGGUAGUUGGUAGGGUAACGGCCUACCAAGCCGACGAUCGGUAGCCGGACUGAGAGGUUGAACGGCCACAUUGGGACUGAGACACGGCCCAG